rnacentral:lncRNA from 1 species
GUACGCUUGCAUUAUAUCUAAAAGAGUGACAGUAGGUAUAAAAUCUACACCCUAACUUUGAGCGUCCAUAUUUCUUUCAUAUAAACUCCAAAUGUCUCAAAAUUUAUACCAAAAUUGUAAAAAAAAACCUAAACUUUCUGAUCCUAUCCUCUAAAGCUCAAAUUCCCAUGAAAAAUUAACCCUAAUCUCUAAUAUGGCCUCGGGCAGCCUCCUUGAAGCCCAUUGGUCAUGAUUUUUGACCAAUAGGAAUGGAGAUUUUCAUCAUCCAUCUCCAUUCAUCUAUAUGGAUGCCCUAAACUUUCUUUUUGCUAUCAAAAUCCCUCUCCAAUUCUUUUCUUUACAAGAUUUAUUCAAUAUAUGUCCUAAACAUCAAAUUAAAGAACCAAAAUAA